rnacentral:lncRNA from 1 species
AGAGCCCAACAAACGGCGAGAAAGUGCCACCUGGAAAUUUGCAAGUCCUCGGAUGGUUUCAGCGGGCUUAGUUCACUUGUAUGCCACCCCAGAGUAUGAGAUCCGUAAAAUGCGGUCCAAAAGAAAAUUAAAAGAGGAUAUUGAAAAGCGUCCACUCAUUAGCGAGAUUAUCCAGAUGCUAGACACUGCAGAAUGAUAUGAGGCCACCAAUCAAUCUAAUUUCUCCAUUAACAAAAUGGUUUGGAGAUCUAUCCUUGUGCGGGAUAGAAGUCAGCAACUACAUUUCAUCUUGUCAGACCAUUUUGCUAUAAUUAAAGAGAAAAAUGAACA